ensembl:snRNA U1 U1 spliceosomal RNA
AUACUUACAUGUCAGGAAGGGAUACCAUGCCCAUGCAGGUGGAUAUCGAAUGGCUAGGCUUAUCCCUUGCACCCCAGAUGUGCUGACAACUGCAAAUUCCCAAAUGUGGAAAACUGAACUGAAUAAUUCAUAGUAAGGGUUCACUGUAUUCCCUGUAUCCAA